AUUGAACGCUGGCGGCAGGCUUAACACAUGCCAGUCGAGCGAGCGGCGGACGGGUGAGUAAUGUAUGGGAAACUGCCUGAUGGAGGGGGAUAACUACUGGAAACGGUGGCUAAUACCGCAUACCAUCAGAUGUGCCCAGAGGGGAUUAGCUAGUAGGUGGGGUAAUGGCUCACCUAGGCGACGAGCCCUAGCUGGUCUGAGAGGAUGAAAAGCAACACGGGAACUGAGACACGGUACAGACUCCUACGGUAGGCAGCAGUGGGGAAUAUUGAACAAUGGGCGCAAGCCUGAGGCAGCCAUGCCGCGUGUGUGAAGAAGGCCUUCGGGUUGUAAAGCACUUUCAGCGAGGAGGCGUUACUCGCAGAAGAAGCACCGGCUAACUCCGUGCCAGCAGCCGCGGUAAUUC
rnacentral:rRNA from 1 species